UCCGAGCUGACCCCGGCAGUCUCCUAUGAGUCCCCGGCAUGACCCGCUGGCAACAUAGAACGAGGGUUGCGCUCGUUGCGGGACUUAACCCAACAUCUCAUGACACGAGCUGACGACAACCAUGCACCACCUGUAAGCGGCCCUUACGGACCUCAUAUCUCUAUGAGUUUUCCGCCUAUGUCAAGCCCAGGUAAGGUUCUUCGCGUUGCAUCGAAUUAAUCCGCAUGCUCCGCCGCUUGUGCGGGCCCCCGUCAAUUCCUUUGAGUUUUAGCCUUGCGGCCGUACUCCCCAGGCGGGGCGCUUAAUGCGUUAGCUGCGGCACGGAGAACGUGGAAGGUUCCCCACACCUAGCGCCCAACGUUUACGGCGUGGACUAC
rnacentral:misc_RNA from 1 species